rnacentral:rRNA from 1 species
UACGGGGGGAGCAAGCGUUGUUCGGAUUUACUGGGCGUAAAGGGCGGGUAGGCGGCCACUGCAAGUCGGUUGUGAAAUCUCCGGGCUUAACUCGGAAAGGUCAAUCGAUACUGCAGGGCUAGAGUGCAGAAGGGGCAACUGGAAUUCUUGGUGUAGCGGUGAAAUGCGUAGAUAUCAAGAGGAACACCUGCGGCGAAGGCGGGUUGCUGGGCCGACACUGACGCUGAGGCGCGAAAGCUAGGGAAGCGAACGGG